UUUGGUAUAGUUUAAUUGGUAAAAUGUUAGACUCAUGAUCUGAAGAUAUAGGUUCAAUUCCUAUUACCACGA
rnacentral:tRNA from 1 species